rnacentral:rRNA from 1 species
GAUGAACGCUGGCGGCGUGCUUAACACAUGCAAGUCGAACGAAGCAUUUAAGACAGAUUACUUCGGUUUGAAGUCUUUUAUGACUGAGUGGCGGACGGGUGAGUAACGCGUGGGUAACCUGCCUCAUACAGGGGGAUAGCAGCUGGAAACGGCUGGUAAUACCGCAUAAGCGCACAGUACCACAUGGUACAGUGUGAAAAACUCCGGUGGUAUGAGAUGGACCCGCGUCUGAUUAGCUUGUUGGCGGGGUAACGGCCCACCAAGGCGACGAUCAGUAGCCGACCUGAGAGGGUGACCGGCCACAUUGGGACUGAGACACGGCCCAGACUCCUACGGGAGGCAGCAGUGGGGAAUAUCGCACAAUGGAGGAAACUCUGAUGCAGCGACGCCGCGUGAGUGAAGAAGUAGUUCGCUAUGUAAAGCUCUAUCAGCAGGGAAGAUAGUGACGGUACCUGACUAAGAAGCUCCGGCUAAAUACGUG